rnacentral:rRNA from 1 species
UACAGAGGGUGCAAACGUUGUUCGGAUUUACUGGGCGUAAAGCGCGUGUAGGCGGCUUUGCAAGUCGGAUGUGAAAGCCCACGGCUCAACCGUGGAAGUGCAUCCGAAACUGCAUGGCUGGAGUCUCGGAGAGGAAGGUGGAAUGCUUGGUGUAGAGGUGAAAUUCGUAGAUAUCAAGCAGAACACCUGCGGCGAAGGCGGCCUUCUGGACGAUGACUGACGCUGAGACGCGAAAGCGUGGGGAGCAAACAGG